GCGGGCGUAGCUCAGUUGGUAGAGCAUCAGCUUCCCAAGCUGAGGGUCGUGGGUUCGAUCCCCAUCGCCCGCU
rnacentral:tRNA from 1 species